rnacentral:rRNA from 1 species
GACGAACGCUGGCGGCGUGCCUAAUACAUGCAAGUCGAGCGAGCGGAACCAACAGAUUUACUUCGGUAAUGACGUUGGGAAAGCGAGCGGCGGAUGGGUGAGUAACACGUGGGGAACCUGCCCCUAAGUCUGGGAUACCAUUUGGAAACAGGUGCUAAUACCGGAUAAUAAAGCAGAUCGCAUGAUCAGCUUUUGAAAGGCGGCGUAAGCUGUCGCUAAGGGAUGGCCCCGCGGUGCAUUAGCUAGUUGGUAAGGUAACGGCUUACCAAGGCGACGAUGCAUAGCCGAGUUGAGAGACUGAUCGGCCACAUUGGGACUGAGACACGGCCCAAACUCCUACGGGAGGCAGCAGUAGGGAAUCUUCCACAAUGGACGCAAGUCUGAUGGAGCAACGCCGCGUGAGUGAAGAAGGUUUUCGGAUCGUAAAGCUCUGUUGUUGGUGAAGAAGGAUAGAGGUAGUAACUGGCCUUUAUUUGACGGUAAUCAACCAGAAAGUCACGGCUAACUACGUGCCAGCAGCCGCGGUAAUACGUAGGUGGCAAGCGUUGUCCGGAUUUAUUGGGCGUAAAGCGAGCGCAGGCGGAAAAAUAAGUCUAAUGUGAAAGCCCUCGGCUUAACCGAGGAACUGCAUCGGAAACUGUUUUUCUUGAGUGCAGAAGAGGAGAGUGGAACUCCAUGUGUAGCGGUGGAAUGCGUAGAUAUAUGGAAGAACACCAGUGGCGAAGGCGGCUCUCUGGUCUGCAACUGACGCUGAGGCUCGAAAGCAUGGGGUAGCGAACAGG